UUUAACAAAGUAAAAACUAUGUUCGAAUUCGAACAUGCGUUAAAAUUAAAUUAGUAAAGUAAACUUUUAUUCAUACGGAUUCAAGUAAAUACUAGGAAAGUUUACUUUACUUGGAAACGGGCAGAAUAAGUAAAUACUUUUUUUCAUUCAUACGACCUAUUGAUUUUAUUUUACAAUCGCUUUCAACGGGAAAGGGAUUCAUCAGCAUUCAGGUAUCUCUUCCUUCACAGUCACCAGUGAGUUCUGCCCCGAGCCGCCUGUAUCAUUACAGUGUCUAUUCAGGUGUUUUUUAAGAUUUGAAGAAUUCGUGUACGCUUUGGGACAAUUCGAACAUGAAUAGGGACGUUCACCUACAAAGAAAAAUCCUGUCGAAUCAUUCAUUGUAGUAAAACAUUUUUACCUACCCAUAUGAUUUCGAAUGUGCACUUUGAGAGUAAAAGGAUCGCUAAAAGCUUUCGGACAAUGUGAACAAGAAUAGGGACGUUCACCUGCAAAGGAAUGGCUCUGCUGAAUAAUUCAUUGUAGUAAAAUCAGCUUACCAACCCGUAUGAGUUCGAAUGUGCGUUUGGAGCAAAGCAGGAAACUUGAACGCUUUCGGACAAUGUGGACAAGAAUGGGGGCGUUUCUCUGCAAAGGAAAUAUUCUGCUGAAUGGUUCAUUUUUGUACAACAUUUUCACCAACCUGUAUGCAUUAGAAUGUGGUGUUUUAGCUUUAAAGAAUCCGCGAACGCUUCCGGACAAUGUGGACAAGAAAAAGGACGUUCACCUGCAAAGGAAUAGCUUUGCCGAAUAGUUCAUUGUGAUACAACAUUUUUUACCAACCUGUAUGAAUUCGAAGGUGUUUUUUGAGCGCUGGUUGAUCCUUAAACGCUUUCGGACAAUGUGGACAGGAACAGGGACGUUGAUCUGCAAGGGAAUGACUCUUCUGAAUGGUUCAAUCUGGUUAAACAUUUUUUACCCACCCGUAUGAUUUCUAAGGUGUUGUUUGAGCGCUGUAUUCUGCGGAAACGACUUCUCACAAUGUGGACAAGAAUAGGGACGUUCACCUGUGGAGGUAUGAUUCAGUUAAGUGAUACAUUUGGGUAGUUGCCAUCAAAUAAAAAACGGAGAGGUUCGCCUAAAAAUUGGCUGUUUUUCGACUGAUUUGGCUUGUAAUUGUUUAUAGUAAAACAUUCUGUAUUAACCUGUAUGAAUUCGAACGUGCUGUCGGAGCGCUCCAAGUUGCCUAAACGUCUUCGAACAAUGUGGACAAGAAUGGGGACGUUCACCUACAAUGGACUACUCUACUGAAUGGUUCAUUUUAUUGAACAAUUCUCUACCAACCUGUAUGAGUUAGAAUGUGCAGUUUGAGCGUUCUAUGUUCGAGAAACGCCUUCGGGCAAUGUGGACAAGAAUGAGGACGUUCGCCUGCGAAUGAAAGACUCUGUUAAAUGGUUCAUUGUUGCAAAACCUUCUUUACCAACCUGUGUGAGUUCGACUGUGCUUUUGUAGGCCUGAACAAUUUCUAAACACUUUCGGACAAUGUGGACAAGAGUAGGGACGUUCAUCUGCAAAAGAAUAACCCUGCCGACUAGUUUAUUGUAAUGAAACAUCUUUCACCAACCUGGACAGUUCGAUUGUUCAAUAUGUAUGGUUCGAAUGUGCCUUCCGAGCGUUGAUCGCUCUUUAAACGCUUUCGGACAAUGAGGACAAGAAUAGGGACGUUCACCUGCGAAGGAAUGACCCUGCUGAACAGCUCAUUACAGAAAAAUGUUUUCACCAACCUGUGUGAACUGUUAUGUGACAUUGAAGUUUUGAAGAACACUUGAACGCUUUCGGACAAUGUGGACAAGAAUACGGACGUUCUCCUGCAAAAGAAUGAUCUCGCUGAAUGUUUCAUCGGUUAGCUUUUUUGUUAACUAGUUUAUGUUUUAUCGCAUUCUUCACCAUUUGACCAUUUUUGUUCUGUAAAAGAUUAUUGGUCAAAGUUUACAGGAAAUAACAACCCUUUCUCAACCGCAUGUUGUCUUUCACCAAACCUCCAUCCAUCCUCCAUUGAUCUGAUGCCUAGGACUACCAAAAUAUGUGAACGGAAGAAUUAUCAAACGAUCAUUGUAUUUUACAUUUCUCUCAGAAAUUAUUGCACAUAUCAUGUUUACGUAGUUCUCGAACCGCGAAAGUUCAUUCUCCUUUAGUACCUGAAAUGACGAUUUUCCCAGGCUUCUCAGUUUCAAAGUACGUUUUAGGGAAAUAUAUUCGGGUCUGCACAACGACAGACGAGUACAAAAGUACUCAACAUCAAAAAAUAUCCCCGACUUGCAUGUAUUUGCAAAGCGGAUUCCCCCAGGCACAUUAAUUUUAAAGUCCGUGUUAGGGAAACACAACUCAGUGGGGAAAAAAAUACCCCCAACUUGCAUGUUUUGACAAAGCGGAUUCUCCCAGGUAGUGAUCCCCGAUAAUCGUUCGAUUAAUCGAAUACUUCCUACAGAAAUCGAUUAUUAAUCGAACGAAUACUGCACAACCAAUAAUCGAAGCGAACGAAUAAUUUACGUCGAUUAAUCGAUUCAAACCCAGAGAGAAAAAAACGUACGGCCGCUUCAGUUUUAUCAUGAAAAUCAAUCAUUAUCUUUGACGCUUCCCUAAGUUCGUAAACGAAGCUCAAUGCCGUCAACGCGAAUUGAGCUUCGUUUACGACUUUAUGGGAGCGUAAAAGAUAAUAAUUGAUUUUCAGGCGGAAUGAACACUUUUUAGAUUCCAUAUGGCUUUCUAGCAAAUGAGAAAUAUUAGUAUAAUUAAUUAUUUCUCUCAGUGUGACGAUUAAUCGAUUAAUCGAUUAUUUGGGGCGAUUAAUCGUAUCGAAUAAUAAACUACUGAAAACUAUUCGAUUAACUGAUGAACGAUUAAUUUCAAAAUUCGGGGAUCACUACUCCCAGGCACAUUGAUUUUGAAGUCCGUGUUGCGAAAAGCGUAAAUCGGGCCAAUCAAAACUUGGCAGUUAGGGCGUUUAGAUAACGCUUAAUAUUUUACAGUUAUUCAAUUGUUCAUCUCAUGAAAAAAUAAAAAAAUUUUAAUUAUGAUAGACGCGUAGAAAUAUUUCCUAUCAAUUGAUGCAAACAUCUUUCCGAUCUAUUAAGAAAUGUUCGAGUAAUAAGCAUUUGAAAUACAGGUAGGGUUUGCACACAAAUCGGCAGAACAAAUGUAUAGGCAAAAAGGAAGCUUUUCCAGUUUUCAUGAAUUUAAUCCGUUUAGAGAUUAGCGAAUUUUAAUGUAUAGCAUAUCAAACAAAUCAUAGAGAAUUUCCGAUUCGAUUGGUAUACAAAUCAUGAGAAUUUGUUCACAGUGAAAAUAGUUAUUAACGUUAAUUUUAAAACGUGACCUUUUUUCUGAUUUGGCACCCUUCCUGAAAGACCGAUUGAUGUCGAAUUUAUCGCAAAAAAAUCUAAAAUAAUGAUAUUUUUCAAAUUUUACUAUUUUAAAAAAAAUCGAGAAACGUAAGUAAAAAAAACGUUUUAAACCGCAUGUUGUUUCUCAAACGGCCACCAUUUUGUCAAAAAAGAUGAAAAAAGAUUCAUGCGAUAGCGGCAUCUUCACUGAUUUAGAAUCUGUUCGAUUUUUUUUGUUUCAGAUAACCAGAACCAUGGCACAACUUUUUUUUUACCCUCUUCACUUUAUUAGCUAGUCAUGAAUAUUUUUCUUCGAUCAGUUUUUGUUUUAUUGCUGAAAGUUAGAUGAACAAAUAAUGAUAUAAGACUGCGCUUCCAAUGCAUCCGAUGUUUAGCACGUUGAGCUGGUAUCAUCGCACCGACAGCGGACUUUUUGUUUAGAGAGUGUCAACUGGGAACGACAGCAAUAACAUUGGAAAAUAAUUUUUAUAAAAGUCCCCUAUCGCUCAGCUUGAACCGUGGGUCAGACAAAAAAAUCCCCUAGCUCCUUCGAGGCUCAACGUGUUGAAUAAACCGGAAGAAUUGGUGUAUGUUGGACAGGAAGAGGCAAGGUUGUUUGAUGAAGUAUCGUAAAUGAAGCGGCAUUACGAAAGUUGGCCAACCAAGUUAUCAACCAUGGUCGAUAAAAAGAUGGAUGUCGGCAUGUUCUUUAACUUUUUCGUAGAUUUAUCAGUCAGCUGUCUCUCCGUUUUGGCCAUGAAAUUAUUGGAGGAAAUCUUCCGUUUUCCGGUCUUCGUUACAAUGUUUAUUUCCAGUCGAUCCAUCCUCCAGUGAUAGUUAGGCAUGAUGGGCUGCUGUCAGGUUCGGCCUAAAGAUCACCUCACCUUUCCUUGAUACUUCUUGAUGCAGGCGGCAACUUCUGACAUGCACUUCGUACUGUAUAUCUCCCCGUUCACCGUAAGACUCGGAAGAAGAGCGGCUUUUACAUUAUAUAUAUAUUUGACGUCAUCGCUUAACUCUGACGCUUCCGCACGAAAAUGUCCGUUCUGACCAGAUUCUUCUUCGCCGUUUGCCGCUUGCUUCGAUCUCCCGGCUUAAGGAGCGGCAGAAAGAGGAUGUUGUAAAUACCAGAUCGGCUAUAUCCGGCGGACACGAAGUGCCUCAGGAUGUCCAAUUCCUUCGCUGUGGAGUGGAGCUGGCAGUAUGAAAUAAAUAUCUAUUUGCUUGACUGUGCUGCCAAUGCAAAUCAACAGCGUUAAAUAAUUUUGUUGAAGGCCUAAUAAACGUAAUAUUUGAGAAAAAUUUGUUCCAUUGAAGUAUUUUUCGUAUUUUUUUUUCAUCGCCAUCAGAAAUCAGUCCAUUUCUUUAAUACCUACGUUAACACUGAAAUCAUUGAAAAAUGGAUUGGAGUUUUCAAGCAUCCCAUUCGGUCAUUUGAAGAAAAUGGCGUAAACAAAAUCUGGACCACCGAAAAAUCGCAAUGUUACGUUGAAAGAAAUAAUACAAAUCAGGUUUAACUGCAAGGACACAUAUUAAGAAUUUCACGAAUAAAUAAGAUUCGCUGGCCGGAGGCGAUCUGGCGUAGUGGUAACAUCCAUGCCUCUCACGCUAAAGGUCACGAGUUCAAUUCUCACUCCCGACAUUCUUCCAAAAAAUGGAAGUAAAAAGUGACGAACCAGCCAAGUUGAGUUUAAAAUCACUAUAAUACAGAUAAAAAAAAAAGAUUCGCUGGACUAUGGGCACGUAUAUACAUGGCGUUUUUCUGGUGUCCCACGUUAGACCUCUGACCAUCUGGUCACUUGUCUGUAUGUUAAACUGAAGCAACCGGAAACAGUGACCUUCUGGCGCCUUUUUCGUUCGUUUCAUUGAUGAACUAUGCCUCACCUUUUCCUCUCUUGGUUUGCCUUUCGGCCUCCUCUGCGAUUGGCGCAAAGUACGAUAUUGUGUCUGCCUCGAAAAUGUUAUCACUAUGCGACAGUUCGUGGUCAUCGAUUACUAACUCUGGCUCCGUCUUGAUGUCAUUCGGUUCGGUGCUGGGCAAACUAUGGAAACAACUCUCGGGAAUGUUGUGGACCAUUAUGAACUCUUGCCGGCAUUUGUCACAUAUAGGAUAACUGCUCAACUGGGAAGUGACAUUACGCAGAUCCUUCAGGAUAGUUUUUACCUUCUGCUCUUGAGGGACCAGCGAAUAACCAGAUUCCUCAUUGCACACAACAGAGCAGAAGCUGCAUUGGUCACUGCUGAAACGGAAUGUGGUCGAACAUCAGUUUGUUUUACGUUAUUUACGACUGAUCGAUUGAGAAGCAAUUGUCAAUUAAUAUUCAUCAGUCAUCGUUAGCAUGUAAAUAAUAAGUUUACUAUUCCGUUUUCUUUUCUUUUUUUUUUGAAUUUAUGAACAAAUAAAAAAUUAGUGCUUAACU